rnacentral:rRNA from 1 species
CACGUAGGCGGACUAUUAAGUCAGAGGUGAAAUCCCAGGGCUCAACCCUGGAACUGCCUUUGAUACUGGUAGUCUUGAGUUCGAGAGAGGUGAGUGGAAUUCCGAGUGUAGAGGUGAAAUUCGUAGAUAUUCGGAGGAACACCAGUGGCGAAGGCGGCUCACUGGCUCGAUACUGACGCUGAGGUGCGAAAGUGUGGGGAGCAAACA